rnacentral:rRNA from 1 species
CAGCAGCCGCGGUAAUACGUAGGUGGCAAGCGUUGUCCGGAAUUAUUGGGCGUAAAGGGCUCGCAGGCGGUUUCUUAAGUCUGAUGUGAAAGCCCCCGGCUCAACCGGGGAGGGUCAUUGGAAACUAGGAAACUUGAGUGCAGAAGAGGAGAGUGGAAUUCCACGUGUAGCGGUGAAAUGCGUAGAGAUGUGGAGGAACACCAGUGGCGAAGGCGACUCUCUGGUCUGUAACUGACGCUGAGGAGCGAAAGCGUGGGGAGCGAACAGGAUUAGAUACCCCAGUAGUCCCUGUCUCUUAUAA